rnacentral:rRNA from 1 species
UACGGGGGGGGGCAAGCGUUGUUCGGAAUUACUGGGCGUAAAGGGUGCGUAGGCGGCGCGGUAAGUCGGGUGUGAAAUCUCGGGGCUUAACUCCGAAACUGCAUUCGAUACUGCCGUGCUUGAGGACUGGAGAGGAGACUGGAAUUUACGGUGUAGCGGUGAAAUGCGUAGAUAUCGUAAGGAAGACCAGUGGCGAAGGCGGGUCUCUGGACAGUUCCUGACGCUGAGGCACGAAGGCCAGGGGAGCAAACGGG